UACGUAGGGCGCAAGCGUUGUCCGGAAUUAUUGGGCGUAAAGAGCUCGUAGGCGGCUUGUCACGUCGGGUGUGAAAGCCCGGGGCUUAACCCCGGGUCUGCAUUCGAUACGGGCAGGCUAGAGUGUGGUAGGGGAGAUCGGAAUUCCUGGUGUAGCGGUGAAAUGCGCAGAUAUCAGGAGGAACACCGGUGGCGAAGGCGGAUCUCUGGGCCAUUACUGACGCUGAGGCACGAAAGCCAGGGGAGCGAACGGG
rnacentral:rRNA from 1 species